rnacentral:lncRNA from 1 species
CACAAACCUGAGAGGGCAGGAAGUCCACGCUGCCACCACGGGGUCACCACAGGGAGCCUGGUGGGGACACAGAGUAAAAAGAAUAGAAAAUAACCAAAUGUCAAGACUGCAACUGGGGUGGAGCCAAGCUGCUGCGGAUGUUGCCAAGGGCCCUUCCCGGGAGAGCCAGGUGGGGUACCCACAUGCCACCUUCUCCUCAGGUGGAGCCACCGCCUGUGGCCUCCUGUGGGGCCAGCCUGGACUGCAGCUGCCAGGACCUAGUGAUGGCCCCAAACCUGAGAGUGGGCCCAGAGUCCCACCCCGCUAACCAUGCUGAAAAAGGCCACAGGGCACAUGAAGCCUUUGCUCCCUGGAUCAGGUCACGCUCUCCAGUUUUCCUUCCAGGAGGACAGGCCAUGCACUAAAAAACAGCUGCAGAGGAAAGGCUGGACCAGGUGUGCUGGGAGUCACCAGGAGCAAGGUGGUGAAGUGAAGAAACUGAGAUAGGAGAAGGGAUGGUGCCUGAGUCUGCGGCAGACCCUGAACUGGGCCACAUCUCCCAACUUGAGAUUGAAGUCGCUUUGAAAGCAGUGAGUGCCUGGGAGAAAAGAAGGAGCUUGGGGAACUUCAAGUCAAGACUCUUUUGGGUCAGAGAUUAAGGAGGCUCUGUUGCUGCCUGUGUCUCACUGUCUUCUUCAUUCCAACAUCUGCCAUGUUUUGUGCAAUAAUGUUGGCCUCUUGCCUCAAUUUCUGCAUUGAUAAUGUAGAGGCUUCCAUUCCCUCUGAUGCCUUCUACUAAGUCAGUCCCACAAUAAUUGAAGGAUAUCAUGGAAUCUCAGCACCAAGAAGAGGUAGAUAGCAGAGCUAGGGUUUGAGCUGAAGCCUCAAGGACCUCCCAAGGGAGCCUGAAGAUCAUCAGAACCAAGCUAUCAUUUUAUAGAAAAGGAAACUAAAACCUGGGCAGGUUCACUGGUACACUCAGGCAGGCUAAGAUCUGGGUGAUGCACCUAGACACUCAUCUCUGAAAGAUACUGGGCUUAAGUCUUACCCAGUCAGCUCUUAAGGGUUUGUAUUUUUAAUGUAUGUUCAGCUCACUGCAUCCUUUGCCCGCAAGAACCACUCCAAACCCAAUGGAACUCGAUAUCAGCUUUUCCAUGUGUUUUUUGUCCAUGUUAUCUGAACACUUUUAACAGUUGCUUUGCUUGUUCACCCACACAGUGGGUGAGACUUCCCAACAGGAGCCUGGGGUCACUAUGAGGGGAAGUUUUUAGAGAGGAGGGCCAAAUGUCAGAGAAGGAGGAAGAAGAAGGAAGGAAGCAAUGAAAGCAAUAAACCUAUUUCUCAGGUCAUUUUAAAAACUUCUACUCUGGGACAUUGAGCAGAUAGUAUCUAUUUUUCUUUGCUUUGGGUAUUUUUAAAGACACUGCCCCUCCCCAUUUACUUUAAUACAAUACUAAGCACACAUUUCUCAGCACGUAACAAGUCAGGAUGUUCCAGGUUUUGAUGCACGGGUCAAACUUUGCUUUGCCUUGUUGACCAGCCUUGUUGACAAUAGGGCCUUUCAUUGCAGGAGCACAUGAAUCCGGGCAACGUGACUUAAGAGCUGGCUGAUGUUCCAGGACAGCACAAAAGAACGGAACUUGUUUUCAUGCUAUGAGUGCGCAAACCAAUGGGCAGUUUUUGGGGUUACUCGUGAUUGCUCCUCGGUCCAGAGUUCAGGCAGCAAUCUGAGCCACUCAACUGCUCUUCUUUACCCCUCUACCUCUGCAGUUCAUUGGGGGACAGAGCUGGGCCAGGAUCCUGGGACAGAAGGAGGAGGCGGGCCCAGGAAAGUCCACUUGGGGUAACACACAAUUUGUACAUAAAAAAGAAAUGUUCACCUCUUUGUAUGUACCGUAGUAAUUAUUUCACCUUCUUUUAUGAACUUGCACAUUUUCAGAGAGAGUUAAAUUAAGCAGAGUCUGAAAGUGGAGAAUUCUCACAUAGAUAAAAGAAUGGGGACCUGAAAUUGGGUCAUCAGGAAGUGUCUUGUGGCAAAAUACACUUAGUAUCGAACUGAAGGAAGAAAUAUUUCAAACAUUUUCUUUAAGGAAAACUUAAUGGAUGUGACUUAAUAUUGUCUAGACUGACCUAGCAGCACAAGGUGGUGCGUUCAAGGACUUUUCAUCUCAAUCCACAGGAAAAGGGUUCGAUUUAGAUGAGAAAGAGGGAGCGGGGCACAGCUAGACUGGAGAGGCAUCCUGUCCACGGAUUAGUCUUCACUCUUCAUGUGGGCAGUAGAAUGGUAAACGGGACCUUCUUAAAACAGCAGCUCCCAAACACUGGGAGGUUGAUGUGCUUCCUAAACCCUCACUGAUUCAUGAUGUUCGGCACAGUGUGGGGCCUCCCGAAAACGGUGCUGAUCAUAUGGAGUUUGUGGAACAUCUCCUAUGUGUACUACCGGGACUCUACUAUCCUCCGUGAUCACAAUUUCACUGGGGGCCAGUCGCCUAGAAGAUCUCACGGGGUGUCCAAUCUUUUGGCUUCCCUGGGCCACAUUGGAAGAAGACGAAUUGUCUUGCACCACAUAUAAAAUACACUAACACUAACGAUAGCUGAUGAGCUAAAAAAGAAAAUUGCAAAAAUAUCUCAAUGCUUUAAGAAAGUUUACAAAUUUGUGUUGGGCUGCAUUCAAAGCCAUCUUAGGCCACAUGUGGCCCGUGGGCCAUGGGUUGGACAAGCUUGAAGAUAGCCAUGAGACUACUGAUGACAAGAAUAAAGGUGGUUUAUUGAAUCCGUACUGUGUACUAGACUCUUCACAUGCAGAGCCUCAUUUAAUGCUCGUAACAAUCUCUUGAGGCUGAGACAAGCAUAUCCCCCAUCUUACAGAGGAAGAAGCCCACUCAGAGAAGCUAAGGAACUAACCCAAGAUCACACAACUAGAGUAGGGAUUCAAACCCAGACAAUGUGGAACCACAGACCACAACUUACCCACCAGCUGUUGAUGAAGAAUUUCAGACCAAAAGACUAUAGAGAGAGAAAAAAACUCCUGCUCCAAAUGAGAGAAGAGAAAGAGUGUUGACGGUAAAAUAUCAGUGAGACGCUGUGAUUUGUGCCUUUUGUCUUUUUCUAUCUGGCUCCCCUAGCAACAGUUAAGUAGUAAUGAAUGUAAAUGCUCAGUAACACGCCGGCGAGACUGUUCCACCAGGCGCAGCAUCCCUGGUAAACAGAAAUGCAUGCUAAUUUCUGCUCCGUGAAGCAUAGGAAACAUCACUAGGGGCUGCCCAGUGGAAAGGAACAAAAAGCAGAUGGAAAAAAUGUUUAAAUCUCAAGUUUAUGUGAGAACAGAAAAGAAGGAACAUGUUGUAAAUUAUUUUUUGAAAUAUUAAGCUACUAACAAAAUCCUAACACCAAGACAGACAACAGGGGUGGUAAAAGGGGAAGGAGAGACGGAGUCACAAUGGAGACGGUUUUGCUACAGCACAUCAUUAACCGCCACGUUUUUCUGCAGUAUCUGAAAAUAUCAGUCUUGGAAAUACCUAUGCAUUAUUUUUUCAGAGGUGUGUGUCUAUGGCCUCGGGGCUGGAGCUGGAAAACAAGCUAUUGCCAUGAGCUCAUGCUGGAGUCUGUGUAAAUUGUUUCCUCUCCUUAUGUAUAAUGUUUCUAAUUAGGACUGUUACAGAGGAUGAGCUCUGUGGGCUGUUGAAUUGACUCUUUGUGCUCACUGCAAAUCUAGGGCUUUAUGCCUGCCCAUGCUUGGGCCGACCUGCUUCUUAGAGGCAUCGCUAAAUGGGGAAGGUGACCCUGUCCUGCUUCCUGAUGUCUGAUAUCAGGGCUGUUGGGGAAACACCCAAGAGAUCUGCUGUCACCCCUGGAGUGAAUAGAUACAUGACUCUGGUUUCUAGAUGCAUAACUCUUGUUUCUAGUUGGCCCUUUUAUCCAAUUAUACCUUUAAUAAACAAAAGUCCAUUUUGAGGUCCUUUCUCUAAGAGACAACUAUUUACCUAAAAGUUGUAGGGUGAGCAGUAGACACUAGUUCCUCCCUCUGCAUCAAGAAUUUAAGAAAUGGGCUGGGCACAGUGGCUCACACCUGUAAUCCCAGCACUUUGGGAGGCCAAGGUGGGUGGAUCUCUUGAGAUCAGGAGUUUGAGACCAGCCUGGCCAACAUAGUGAAACCCCGUCUCUACUAAAAAUACAGAAAUUAUCUGAGUGUUGUGGUACAUGCCUGUAAUCCCAGCUACCCGGGAGGCUGAGGCAGGAGAAUCAUUUGAACCCGGAAGGCGGAGGUUGCAGUGAGCCAAGAUUGUGCCACUGCACUCUAGCCUCAGUGAUGGAGCGAGACGCCAUCUCAAAAUAAAUAAAUAAAUAAAUAAAUUUUAAAAGAAUUUUGGAAAUGUUUAGGGAAAGUGGAGUAGGACUCUGCUUCCCCAAGAUGCUGAGGCUUUGCAGAGAGGAUGUGACCCAGAGGGUAUGAGUCUCCCCGGCUUGGACCCACUCCUGCUCCCGACCUCUGACAUGUUUCUAGGUCAGACACACUUAGAAAAUUAAUCCUCAGCCAUCUGAGUAGCUGAUUGUCAGCAGGCAAUUCCCUUCCACCGGUAAAACUUCAGUCAGCUACGCUGGGCGAUGCAUAGAAAUACAGUAUUGGCUUGGCUUAGAGGUCUCCAGACACUUGGUCCCAGAGGACCAAGUAAAGGUUGCUUGUUAAUCUAGUACGACAUUCCCACUGUGGGACCUGUUAGGCUCCACACUGAAGAGGUGCCAGGAAUUCAAGGAGAGUGGAGGCUGGUGCUGAAAAGCUUCCCCCAGUGAUUCUGAUAUGCUCAGAGGGGGUGAUGGUGGUGGUCUUGGGCAGGCUUCCCAUUGUGUCAGGCCCAUGGUCACUAAUUCUUGUCCAGACCUGCAGAGCCAGAAUAGCCCAGCCCACAGAGCAGAAGCCACAGUGUAAGAAGCCCGACCUGGGCCAGAAAGCCUGACGAUGUCAGAAAAAAAUCCCCAUCAGUGUGAUGCCAUGGAAACCCUAGACAGCAGGCAGAUCUUUCUUCCUACGAGCCCAUUGGCACCUCCCUGGGAACUGGGAGCUGAGUAGGGAGGUAAAUCCCAGAAGCCAACAGAACACAGGUUUCAUGGAGAGCCUGGAUGCAAACCAGCAGUAGAGGACUGCUGCUCGGCACUGCGGAGGUGCUCAUGCCUUGCACCUGGUGGUUUGCCAAUGGACAAUUUCUCCAUGACCUAGUUUUCUACCUGGUCUGAAAUGAGAAAAAAUAAGUACAGCAUAGCAAGUUUUUCAUUAAGCUAAAUUUGUUCUAUUUAAAGAACUGCCAUUUGUUCUGGAACUAUGUCCUUUCUACUUUUUUUGGUGGAAGAAAAGUACUUUUAAGAAACAGAUGUGACAAUGUGGUAGUGGAUGACAACAUUUUUUGGUGUUGCUUUUUAAUAUUUCUAUUUUUCAAAAUAAAACCUGGCAACACUGUGUUAGUCCUCUGUUUUGUUUGUUUGCAUGCUUGCUUUUGCUUCUGUGUGUGGCGGAUUAGGGAUGGACACAAACUCUUUGGAACUUUUCAUACUGAAAGGUGCACCUAAUUUGCCUUCUCUUAAAUCUGGGCUGGCCUUAGUGACUUACUUGACUAAUAAAAUGUGGUGCGCAUGACCGCAUAGGUCUUCUGAAACUAGAUCACGGGAAACCCUGCAGCUUCCUUUCCAGGCCUCUUGGAACACUUAC